GUUUUAAUAGUUUAAUGGUUAAAACGUUUGCCUCAUAUGCAUUUGAUAUAGGUUCAAUUCCUUUUUAAAACA